UGAAAUUUCAUUCUGAUUUUCUGGCUGAAGACUAUUCUCUUUGUGUAUGUCCACCACAGUUACUUUAUCCCUUCAUCUGUGGAUGGGCAGUCUCGCUGUAUUGCCCAGGCUGGAGUGCAGUGGCAUGAUCUCAGCUCACUGCAAGCUCUGCUUCCUGGGUUCACGCCAUUCUCCUGCCUCAGCCUCCUGAGUAGCUGGGAUUACAGGCACCCGCCACCACGCCCAGAAUGAAACAUAUAUGGAAAUGUUCUGUGCAAUCAAAACAGCAGUGGUAACAGAGGAGAUGUAGGCUCUGAGUGUCUCACUGGAGACUGAAGUCCACAGAUAUGCAACAAAGCCUUUGUCUCCCUGAUGUUUUUGCCUCCUGCUGGUCAUGUGCUUUCACACAUCAAGAGAGGACAUUUAACAUUUGA
rnacentral:lncRNA from 10 species